CCUCUUUGGCUUAGUUUCCUUCAUUGCUUCCAUAUCAUUUUCUUUUAAUUAACAAAACAAAAUUAAAAUAUAUAAAAGAAUCAAAUUGGGGGAGAAACAAAAGCUAGGGUUUUGCGAUUUGCUGGGAAAGUGAAAGCAACGAGACGACGGAGAGUAAUGCAAUAUCUCGGAAAAUUGACGGCAAACAACGAAGGUUAACUGCGAAUAGCAAUUUCUGGU
rnacentral:lncRNA from 1 species